rnacentral:rRNA from 1 species
UGGCUCAGAUUGAACGCUGGCGGCAGGCUUAACACAUGCAAGUCGAGCGGAGAUGAGGUGCUUGCACCUUAUCUUAGCGGCGGACGGGUGAGUAAUGCUUAGGAAUCUGCCAUUUAGUGGGGGACAACAUUCCGAAAGGAAUGCUAAUACCGCAUACGUCCUACGGGAGAAAGCAGGGGAUCUUCGGACCUUGCGCUAAAUGAUGGGCCUAAGUCGGAUUAGCUAGUUGGUGGGGUAAAGGCCUACCAAGGCGACGAUCUGUAGCGGGUCUGAGAGGAUGAUCCGCCACACUGGGACUGAGACACGGCCCAGACUCCUACGGGAGGCAGCAGUGGGGAAUAUUGGACAAUGGGCGGAAGCCUGAUCCAGCCAUGCCGCGUGUGUGAAGAAGGCCUUUUGGUUGUAAAGCACUUUAAGCGAGGAGGAGGCUACUAGUACUAAUACUACUGGAUAGUGGACGUUACUCGCAGAAUAAGCACCGGCUAACUCUGUG